UAACACCAGCGCCACAAGUGGCGAUCACGAUUAUUGGGCCUAAAGCGUCCGUAGCCGGUCUAAAAAAUCUUUUGUGAAAUUGUUAUGCUCAACAUAACAGCGUGCAGAAGACACUUUUAGACUUGAAACCAGGAAGAGUCAGAAGUAUUCUAGGAGUAGCGGUAAAAUGUUAUAAUUCCUAGAGGACUACCUGUGGCGAAAGCGUCUGACUAGAAUGGAUUUGACGGUGAGGGAACGAAAGCCAGGGGAGCAAAUGGGAUUAGAUACCCCAGUAGUCCUGGCUGUAAACGCUGCGAGCUAGGUGUUGCAUAUUCUCCGUGAAUAUGCAGUGUCGAAACGAAGGUAUUAAGCUCGCCGCCUGGGAAGUAUAGUCGCAAGACCG
rnacentral:rRNA from 1 species